rnacentral:lncRNA from 1 species
CUCAGCCCACCUGCACCCAGGUGAAAUAAACAGCCCUGUUGCUCACACAAAGCCUGUUGGUGGUCUCUUCACAAGGAUGCGUGUGACAUUUGGUGCCAAAACCCAGGACAGGAGGACUCCUUCAGGAGACCAGUCCCCUGUCUUCGCCCUCACUCCGUGACCUCAGGUCCUCAGACCAACCAGCCCAAGGAACAUCUCACCAACUUCAAAUUGGGACCCCACUGGAAAUCAGACUGUCCAACUCACCCAGCAGCCACUCCCAGAGCCCCUGGAACUCUGGCCCAAGGCUCUCUGACUGACUCCUUCCCAGAUCGUCUCAGCUUAGCGGCUGAAGACUGACACUGCCCGAUCGCCUCGGAAGCCUACAGGACCAUCACAGAUGCUCUGGAUAACUCUUACAGUGGAGGGAACCCACCAGCCAUCCUGGUUGAUUAUGAAUGAGGCUGUCCAGCCCUGUCUGAGCUCAGCACCUCCACCAUCCCCUGGGCAUUUCUACAAGACGUUCUGUAUGCAGGGGGGACCCAGGUUAAGACCCAAACUGGUUCAAUUGGCAUCUGACGCCCUUUGCAAAUGGCUCUACUCUCCUUCAUCAAUCCAUCACCCAAAGACAGCCUGAUCUAAAAGGAUAGAUUCUUCACACAUGCCAUCCGCACUCCUGCCUUCAUAUGAAGUUACUCCUACUUUUUGGCCACCUCUCCUUCGAAGCCCAGCCUCAACUCCCACCUCCUCCUUCAUGAAGCCCUCCCCAGCCACAUAAGUUCUCAGUAGUCAUUUCUCUGAAUUUUGAGUGUCUUCCUGUCUAUAUAAUGUGUCUGGCACUUUAAGAAACAUUAGACUGUUUUGGAAAAUGCCUUGGGCUUUGGAAUAAAAUAGAGCUGGUGAUGUUACUGACUCCAUCCAUCACCUCUUAUGAAACC